rnacentral:tRNA from 4 species
UGCCGCCACUCGGACUCGAACCGAGAUGCUUGAGCACUGCUUCCUAAGAGCAGCGUGUCUACCAAUUUCACCAUGGCGGC